GACGAACGCUGGCGGCGUGCUUAACACAUGCAAGUCGAACGGAAAGGCCCUGCUUUUGUGGUAUGCUCGAGUCGCAAACGGGUGAAUAACACGUGAGUAACCUGCCCUUGACUUUGGUAUAACUUCAGGAAACUGGGUCUAAUACCGGAUAGGCGCUCCUGCUGCUUGUUGGGGGUUGGAAAGUUUGGGCGGUUGGGGGUGGACUCGCGGCUUAUCAGCUUGUUGGGGGGGUACUGGCUUACCAGGGCUUGGGCGGGUGGCCGGCCUGAGAGGGUGACCGGCCAAAUUGGGAUUGAGAUACGGCCCGGACUCCUACGGGGGGCAGAAGUGGGGAAUAUUGCAAAAUGGGCGGAAGCCUGAUGAAGCAACGCCGCGGGGGGGAGGACGGCCUUCGGUUUGUAACUCGUUUCGGCCUGUGACGAAGCGUGAGUGACGGUAAUGGGUAAAGAAGCACCGGCUAACUACGUG
rnacentral:rRNA from 1 species